rnacentral:rRNA from 1 species
UACGGAGGGGGCUAGCGUUGUUCGGAAUUACUGGGCGUAAAGCGCACGUAGGCGGCUUUGUAAGUAAGAGGUGAAAGCCUCGGUGCUCAACACCAGAACUGCCUUUUAGACUGCAUCGCUUGAACACGGGGAGAGGUGGAGUGGAAUUCCGAGUGUAGAGGUGAAAUUCGUAGAUAUUCGGAAGAACACCAGUGGCGAAGGCGGCUCACUGGACCGGUUGUUGACGCUGAGGUGCGAAAGCGUGGGGAGCAAACAGG